rfam:Deltaproteobacteria bacterium RIFCSPHIGHO2_12_FTLL_43_9 rifcsphigho2_12_scaffold_50681, whole genome shotgun sequence.
GCCGAAGUGGCGAAACUGGUAGACGCGCUACAUUCAGGGUGUAGUGGGGGUAACCCCGUGGAGGUUCGAAUCCUCUCUUCGGCA